GAGUUUCUCAAAUUUCUUCUUGAGAAUCUAGACAUGAGUUCUUCAUGAAAGAUUGAUGAAUUUGUGUCUUAACUCCAUCUUAACAUCCGUACAAUAAUUUGAAACACAGUCUUUACAGGGGCUGCUAGUCAAUCCUACAACAUCAAGCACUCAACCACCGGAACACUAUCCAUCUUUGAGUUUCCAUUUGCAACCCUAUCCACAGGUAGCUUCGGGACUAAACCCACCAUUAGACUAGCCUCAGGCAGUCACAACAUGCAUGUCAUGCUCACCGCCACUUCCCUCUAGCCUAUCGCCAUAAAGGUCACCCACCAUCUGGGGAUAACCAAUCUUGCCACCUUUUUUGCCUCGACAUCAAGAGACUGAUUUUCAUUAGCUCAUCUCUACAACUCCUAUAAUCAACCAUGGAACCACAACAUGUAACUUGUCCUCAUUGAUCCAUUGUUAGGAGCAUAAACUCAGCUAUGAUACUAACUUAUGCAGGUUGAAGUAUAAACGAUAACAAAUACAAGACUAUUUAAAAAAAAUAAAAAUAAAAAUCCGUUCACGAUUAACCAUUUAGGUGGAUAAUUGAAGAAAAUUCUAAACCUUUCCAUUCACAUUCAAACCAACCAUCCUACAACAUAAUUAUAACACCAUGUUCAUAUCAAACUCCUAACUAGUCUUUAAGUAUAACUAACCCUAUAACUUAUUUAUUUUAAUUAAUCUCCUAAUCCAAAUAAAACUCCUGCGAAACUUAAAUGAUAAAAGACAUUAAUUAAAAACAAUACAAUUUAAACAAUAAAGUAUCAAAUUAAACGGGCUUGCAUGCAUCAUAGAUUUAGUUAGCCCGAUGGGGGUAAAUACAAUAUAACAUAAAUCCACAUUUGAUGAAAAGGAAACUCUUGUUUGCAAUAUCCAAACCCCUAUGGUGACGUUUAAAAUUGACUACAUUUAUUCGAUAUUGCAGUCUUAUUCAUCUUUAUUUUCUUGUUAUGAUUUCAGUAUAUAAAGUACAAACACGACCAACAAAUUUAAUGCUGAAUUGUCUAUAAAGAGUGUGAUCUCACCUGAAGUUUGAGAGAUAAUCGGACGUCUCCGAUUGAAUUCUAUCCCUUUCAAUUAGUUGCAUCAUGCUGAAGAACAAAACAGGGGUGAACAAUGUUUUCAACUACUUAAACUAGGGGAAGACAGAAAUCGAAAUCUAAUACAUUUUAUACGUAGAAUGCAUUUGGGUAACAGAGAACUGAACAUUAAUUUAAUGCAUGUUCGGUAACCAAUAUGGAACUCAACAUUAUGACUUUAUUUUUCCAUGUUAGUACAUGCAAUGAACCAUACCAAAAUGGUAGAAGAUUUAUUUUCAGAGUAAGACCAUUGAAAAUAGGAGUCAAUACGUGCAGUUGGACGGCCCAAGUUAGCACCUCUUUUGCAUUCUUAUCAUCUACUGAUUCCAUAAUUUUUUAUUAAUAAUAUCAAAAAAGAAAGAGCACAUCAAAAUGAAAGCGAGUAGAAUAAAAACUAACAAGCUAUAUAUAAGUUUUUAAGUUUUUUCCUUUCAGGUGCCAAAAAGAAUUAUAAGGACCUUAUUUAUGCGUGUACGAGUAUGAAGACUUCUUAAUGUUGGGUAGAAGAUGUGAUAAAAUAUCACUUUUUUCACUCAAAUAAACAAACUUUCAUAAAUAUCACAAUACAUAACUAUUACAAAAGAGCAACUCUCUCUCAAACACUCUCUUAUACAAGCAUGGAAAUUUCUCUUCUACGCGAUAAUUCAAAAUACAUACCAAUACCUCUAUUUAGAGAAAAUCUAAGAAGAGUUCAAAAUGAUCAAAUAACUUUCUUCGACCUCCUUUAUUAGAAGAAGAGUUCAAAAUGAAUAAGUAACUUCCACCUCUUUUGACAGAAGAAUAGUUCAAAAUGAUUAAGUAACUUCCACCUCCUUUAAUAGAAGAAUAAUUCAAGAUGGUUAAGUAACUCUUUAAUAGCUCUCGACUAAUGACGAGUUUUUCCUUAACCAUGCAAAAUUCGUCUAUCCAAUAAAAAAAAAACUUCUAUUUAACCUAGUUGAAUUUUGACUAAGUCAUAUAUUCAUCAUCUUCAUGCUUCUAAAGCUUCUUGAUGAUUUUGAAACUUCUUAUUUCUAGAAUUUCCUUGGUCAAAUUUACACUACUUUCAACAUCCCCCUUUAAAGUUGACCAUCCCAAGUAUAAAUUUCUAUCUAGUAAACACAUGUUUAAGUGGCUUGGUAAAAAAUCUGUUGCUUGAUCAUUUGUUCAGCAUGGUAAUAGCUUCACUUCUUUCAUCUUUAUGUGUUCCUGGAUAAAAUGAAAACAUGUGUCUAUAUGUUUGCUUCUUUCAUGAUGGGUUGGAUUAUUUGCAAGUGCAAUUGCUAAUCAGUUAUCAAUAUAAAUCUCAAUGAAAUUUUCUUGACGGAACUACAAAUAUGUUAGCAUAUUGCGCAACCAGAUAGCAUGACAUACAACUAAAAUUACAGCAACAUAUUCAACUUCACAACUGGAUAAAGUAACAACUAGUUUGGAUGACAAUGAGAGUGCAGUUUCUCCAAUAAAAAUACGAAUCCAGUUGUACCUUUCCUUUCAUCUACGUCUCUUCCCCAAUUACUAUUUGAAUAACCAAUGAGCUUAAAAUCAUUAGUAGAUGUAUAACAUAAGCCUUCAUUGAUUGUACCUUUAAGAUAGCGGAGUAUUCUUUUUGCUACAUUAAGAUGUGACUAAUCUAGUGUCUCCAUGUAUCUGUUGAUCAAUCUUACGCCCUCUAGUAUAUCCGAUCUGGUGCAUGUUAGGUAUCUAAGGCUUCCAACCAAGAUCUUGAAAUAUGUAGGAUCAACAUCAAUAUCUUCAUUUUUGCGUAGUUCCAAUUCGCUUUCAACUGGAGUAGUUACUGGAUUAUACUUCUCCAUUCCAAAUUUCUUUAAAAUAUCUGUUGUAUAGGCACUUUGAAAAAUAAAAAUCCCAUCUUCUUGUUGCUUAACUUCAAUCCCAACAAAGUGAGCUAUGAAUCCAAUAUCAGUCAUUUCAAAUUCUUUCAUCAUAUUUUCUUUGAAAGUUUCAAACAUGGAUGGAUUGUUCCCUAUAAAAAUCAAAUCAUCCAUAUAUAAACAAAUAAAUAGUAUACUUCCAUCCUGUUCUCGUUUUACAUGUACUGCAUGUUCAUACUGACAUUGAAUGAAUCCAUUCUAUUUAACGUAAUUGUCAAUACGGGUAUUCCAUGCUCGGGGGUAGCUUGCUUGAGUCCGUAAAGAGUUUUUUUCAAUUAAUAAACUUUAUUUAGUUGACCCUCUCGUAUGUACCUUGGUAGCUGCUUG
rnacentral:lncRNA from 1 species